GAAACUUUGGCGGCAAGAUGGAGGCAGCUGGCGAUCCCUACCAGGCUUCGCUCCAGCCGCGUCGGCACUCGCCGAGACUGCCGCCGCGAAACGGUACGGGCUGCGUCUCCCCGCUGGAGCUCCGUCGCGUUCGCGUGCUCCACAGGCGUGGUCCAGGCUGCAGGCUCACGGCCAGCCGACCCUGCGUCAGGGGGGGCAGGUAGAGCUGAGGUCAGGCUGGCUGGGUGAGCACACGAGGUUCGCCCAAUGCAGUCUGAUGAAAAGUUGUUCUAAAACCGGAGAAACAGGAUCGAUAUGAGGUCAGAGUCCAUGCUAGUGCCACUGUCUUCCCGUCCCAGGCUGCGACUUGCUGGCAAGAAAGCAGUGGGGUUGCUUAUCCAUCUCAGGAACUGAGAGAUGGGUGUUGGGUGUGAUGUCUCAGAGCUGGCUGCGUGAUAAAAGAUGAGGCAGCCAGGAGUAAUUAGGAGUGAGUGUGGAUUUUUGUCCCGUGGGGACAGGAGGAUAGUGACGGUCCUGGCAGGGUGGGCUCUUUGCUGUAUCCUCACGGAGCUUGUUGACUGCUUCCGUGCCCUCACCGCCUCCUCUUAAAGAGCCUACAAUCAGCUUUUGUCUUAGCCCUCCUCUGGCCAGGCCUGCCUUUCCCUCAGUACUAUCCAUGUAACAAAACCCAAGCAAGGGAGAGGGAGCACCCAUCUUGAGCAAUUAACCAUCCUGUCAUGUUCAAGAGACUGAUGAGAAAUGACCUGCAGACUACUCCAGACCCUGAGCUGCCCCAUCUCUGUGUCUGUUGAUGGCAAACCAUUGCUAUGUUCAUCUUCUUUUCCGAACACAGGCUAUGGCGUAUAUGUAUACCCAAAUUCUUUCUUCCGCUAUGAAGGAGAAUGGAAGGGAGGCAAGAAACACGGUAAGAAGCCUGUGAUCAUUGCAGAGCUCAUUCCAGAGCCAGAUUCCUGAGAAAAGGUGUGGGAGGCAGUCAGUCUUGUACCAAGCAUAGCCUGGUACUGCGCCUGCACACUGGGACUACCACUUGGACCCAGUCAUGGUGGAACCAAUGUAAGACCAAUUCUUGUAGGCUUGGAGGUCAUCACAUGCUGGUGGGUGGUGGAACUAUUGGUGGGAGGGAAAGAGUGGGGCAGUAGACCCAGAGUGUCACACACAAACACCAUCAUGGCGUCCUGCAUGCUUGUUAUUGGACAUCCAGGCCUCUAAUCAUCAGCCUUAGUGUCUCUGUAUUC
rnacentral:lncRNA from 1 species